rnacentral:rRNA from 1 species
GACGAACGCUGGCGGCGUGCCUAAUACAUGCAAGUCGAACGAGAGCGCCCGGUGCUUGCACUGGUCAAUCUAGUGGCGAACGGGUGAGUAACACGUGGGUAACCUGCCCAUCAGAGGGGGAUAACAUCCGGAAACGGAUGCUAAAACCGCAUAGGUCUUCGAGCCGCAUGGCUUGAAGAGGAAAAGAGGCGCAAGCUUCUGCUGAUGGAUGGACCCGCGGUGCAUUAGCUAGUUGGUGAGGUAACGGCUCACCAAGGCCGUGAUGCAUAGCCGACCUGAGAGGGUGAUCGGCCACAUUGGGACUGAGACACGGCCCAAACUCCUACGGGAGGCAGCAGUAGGGAAUCUUCCGCAAUGGACGCAAGUCUGACGGAGCAAGGCCGCGUGAGUGAAGAAGGUGUUCGGAUCGUAAAACUCUGUUGUUAGAGAAGAACAAGUGCUAGAGUAACUGUUAGCGCCUUGACGGUAUCUAACCAGAAAGCCACGGCUAACUACGUG